GAUGAACGCUGGCGGCGUGCCUAAUACAUGCAAGUCGGGCGGUAAGGCCCUUCGGGGUACACGAGCGGCGGACGGCUGAGUAACACGUAGGAACCUACCCCAAACUGAGGGAUAAGCACCAGAAAUGGUGUCUAAUACCGCAUGUGCUCUACGGAGUAAAGCUUCGGCGGUUUGGGAAGGGCCUGCGUCCGAUUAGCUAGCUGGUGGUAUAAAAGACUACCAAGGCGACGAUCGGUAGCUGGUCUGAGAGGAUGAUCAGCCAGACUGGGACUGAGACACGGCCCAGACUCCUACGGGAGGCAGCAGUAGGGAAUUUUCCACAAUGGGCGAAAGCCUGAUGGAGCAACGCCGCGUGCAGGAUGAAUGCCUUCGGGUUGUAAACUGCUUUUAUCUGUGACGAAUAUGACGGUAGCAGAUGAAUAAGGACCUGCUAACUACGUGCCAGCCGCCGCGGUAA
rnacentral:rRNA from 1 species